rnacentral:lncRNA from 1 species
CUAUAAUAAGGUAAAAAUUCAAUUAAAUUUCUGUUGAAUUGAAAAAAUUUUUUAAAAUAAUUUUCAUUUUCUUUCAGGCAGAUAGAAAAGCAAAAAAGGCUCCUGGUACAAGUAGCUGCUUUCGGAUGCGCUAUUUUCUUCCCGUGGGUGUUGCUGUGAUGGCAUUUCUGGUGUAUGGCAUGUACAAGCGCCUCAACAAAUAAUUCAAUUUCUUCCUCACUGGAGCACUUAACCAUUCAAUGUUCUGAUCAUGUUAAAUGGCAUGUAUUGUAAUUUAUGGAUGUUCACUUAUCGGUUAAUAAAUAUGAUGACACUGCCAUGUAAUUCCGGUAAUUUUUUUAUGUUUAUGAUUUUGUAUUAGUAAUUAUAAUUAUUUAUAUUUUUGUAUGUAAUUUAACUUUGAUUGAGAUAUUUUGCUGCUAUUUCAUUUUAAAAAUAAAAGUAUUCUAACUGUAGUAUAUCGUGUUAAAACAUGUUAGUAUGUAUGUAUGCUUAAGUUUUUUGGCUUUUUUUUUCAGAACUGAAUUAUUAUUGGAAAGUGAAUUAAGUUUUCUCUUUUUAAAAUCAUAAUUCUUUUGUAAAUUUAUAAAAAUUUUGUAAAAAAAUAAUGAUUGAAAUGUAUUAUGAUUGUUAGGUGUAAAUUUGAAAAAAGUUUUUCUAACAACAAAUGUUAUCUGUUAUUAAUUAUAUCUAUGUAUCACAAAAAAUAAUUGCAAAUAGAUGUAGAAAAAAGAAGGAAAGAUUUGACUUGAAUUUAUCAAGUUUUCACAUUAUUCAUGUUGCCAAAUUCUACUUUGUUUAGUUUCAUUUUUGUUAUGUAUAUAAAGAAACUAUAGUAAUAGGGUUUGAAAAAAAAUUCAGUAUUCUAUUAUGACUAAUUACUUAGUUUUUGUUUGAGAAAAACUUUAAGCAAUAACAAGCUAUAAUCUACAGCUUGAUAAACUUGGAGCACAUUUAAUUAUUAUUAUUUUUUUUUUUUUUGAAAAAAAGUUUAUGAAUGAUUUAAAAAUAAAUUUUUUUAAAUGUAAAUUUGAUAUUGUAAGCAGACAUGUUAUAAAAAGUUUUCAAGGUGAUUAAAUUAUUGUAGUUGAUAAAUGACUUUAAAAUCACUGUUUCCAUGCUGUUAUUUUAGAUUAAUGAAACUAUUCUGCAUCUAUAUAAAAUUAUUUUAGAAAUCCUUCUUGAAUUUUAAUAUAUAUUACAUUAUUAACUCAAUGUAAUUUACACAUUUUCUUUUGUAUCAGUUCAAUCUAAAAACAAUCUAUUGUUUUUUUAAAUUUUUAAAAAUUAAUUUUCUUAAAUGAUAAUAUUUUUUAGAUUUAAAAAAUUAUAUAAAAAAUAAUUUACAAGAAUUCUUGAUUUUUGCAGUCCAAAGAUCUUUGUGUGUUAAUUUCUAUUGCAAUACAAAUACAAUCACUUUCUACUUUUUAUUACAGUUGCAAAACUUUACACCAUGUUAAAAAUAUGCAAUUUGAAGCGAUUGAUGGUAAACUCAUGUAUUAACAUAAAAUAUAAACAUAAAUAGCAUAUUUAGUAUUACUUUUGAAGAAAAUUAACAGAUUAAAAAAGAUGGCACAGUCUAAACGUACAGCUUUGAUUCAAGCAUUUUUGCUUUAAAACAUUCGAUAGAUAAAUAGAGAAUGAUGCUUUUAAGUUUGAGUAUAAAGAUUUUUGUUAAUAGUUUGAAAAUAUUUAUCUUAAAAGUAGAAAAUUAACCAGGAAAUUUUUUCUAUAGAUAUUUAAACUUAAGCAAUACUGUCUACCAUUUUUCCUGCUAUAUUUAUGUGAUAUUUUUAGCAUUAGUACAUAGAACUACUGCAAUAUUACUAUUACAAUUAUUUUCAUGAGCUUAAAAUCAAACUUCCAAAAAUAAUGGUAUGCUAAAACAUUCCUGAUCUAUGUAUAUUGUUAUAUUUUCAAUAGAUUAGUUGUUUCUUGUAGUUUUUUUUUUUUUGGAAGAAGCUGAAAAAUAAAUAUUAAUAAUUUUGUAUAUUUUAAUGAUAAGAUUACUACCACUAAUUUUUACAAGGAUUUAUUCUUAAGUAGAAACAGAUAUUUGAUUAUGCAUGUUGUGAUAAAAAAGUUUCCCUUUUGAGGGCUGUACAUUCCAGAUUUGGUACAGCAUUCAUGCAGAAUUAUCGUGAACAUUUAGGUAAUCAUUCCAUUGCUUUAAAUAUUUUAGGGGGAGCAAAAAGUAAAGUACUUGUACCCCUAAUACUUGUUUGGUAAAACACUUUUUUUCCCCAACUGCCUUAAUGAAGUCCAAAAUUGCAUGAUGCAUAUCUACAUUAAUCGAACUCUUAAGGAUUUUUGGUGCGCAAAAAAAUUGGAAAAUUGCAGGAGAGGAAAAUAGGAAUGUUAGACAAGUGUUGGAGUGCUCCGAAGAAUGUAUAACAGUCUUUUGGUCCUGUUUGGACACAUUUACUCUCAAUUGCUGCUGUUAAUAUUUCAGCAUUUUUCACACACACACAUUUCCAAAACAAACGAAUUAAACCCUAAUCCAUGUGUAGAUGCUGUUUGUUAUAUAUGCAUUCAUUUGCAAAUUUCUACAGCCACACCUUCCAACGGAAAUGUUUUGAUCAAGUCUAUAGAUUUGCAAUGUAAAAAUGUGAUACAUUUGAUUUAUCAUAUGACUUGUUUGUUAAUGUAUGUGCUUCAUAUAUAUUUGCUUUCAGAAAGUCAUUUCAAUCCUCUAGUGGUUUCAAUUUGGAAAAUGUACUAAUUUGAAGGGAAGUCUUUUCUAUACACUUUUCCUAUCUGACAUUAAACCAAAUCUGUAAUUUUUCAUCAACAAGAAAAAAAAAUUUUAAUAAAAAAUUACAAAUAUGGGUUAAUGUUACUUGCUCCAUUUUUUGUCUUAUAAUGCAAAAAAAAAGAUAGCAAAAAGUUAUUUUUUAUGUUUUUAACCACAGAAUUAAAUUUCAUAGUUGAUAUUUUCUAUGUUUUGUGUUUCAGUAGCAAAAGUAAAUGGAUAUUAAAACAUUAUUAUUUUAAAACUGUCUUACCAUUUAAGUUAGUUCUAAAUGGUUUGAUACAUUGUUGAUUCCUAUUUUUUGCUGUUGAUAUUUCUUUUUAAAAAAUUCUUGAUGAAAUAAUUUAAAAAAAAACUUUUUCUGGUAAAUGGUAAACAAUUAUGUUUACUAGCUUAAAGGAUCAGAAUUUAUGUUUAUGUAUAGAAUGUUUUAACUAAUGAUAGAAAGUUUAUACCUUAAUAUUUUCAAAAAUAAAAUUCUUUUAUUUCAUGUUU